GACGAACGCUGGCGGCGUGCUUAACACAUGCAAGUCGAACGGGAGUAUUGAAGAAGCUUGCUUUAGAGAUACUUUAGUGGCGGACGGGUGAGUAACGCGUGAGGAGCUGUCCAAUGCAGGGGGACAACAGUUGGAAACGACUGCUAAUACCCCAUAAGCCGAGAGGUAAAAGGAUUUAUCCGGCAAUGGAGGUACUCGCGUCCUAUCAGUUAGUAGGUGAGGUAACGGCUCACCUAGGCGAAGACGGGUAGCCGGCCUGAGAGGGCGAACGGCCACACUGGAACUGAGAUACGGUCCAGACUCCUACGGGAGGCAGCAGUGGGGAAUAUUGGGCAAUGGGGGGAACCCUGACCCAGCGACGCCGCGUGGGUGAAGAAAUCCUUCGGGAUGUAAAGCCCUGUUGUAUGGGAAGAGCGGAAGACGGUACCAUACGAGGAAGCCCCGGCAAACUACGUG
rnacentral:rRNA from 1 species